UGGGCAAUCUGCCCUUCACUCUGGGACAAGCCCUGGAAACGGGGUCUAAUACCGGAUAACACUCUGUCCCUCAUGGGACGGGGUUAAAAGCUCCGGCGGUGAAGGAUGAGCCCGCGGCCUAUCAGCUUGUUGGUGGGGUAAUGGCCUACCAAGGCGACGACGGGUAGCCGGCCUGAGAGGGCGACCGGCCACACUGGGACUGAGACACGGCCCAGACCUCCGUACGGGAGGCAG
rnacentral:rRNA from 1 species